AAUAUUUCACAACAAAUCCUUGACUGGUUAAAUGGUCACCAGAAUUCAUAUCGCUUAGCCUAGCCUAUGCAACGAGUGUUUAUAAUGAGCAGUUUUGGGAGU